UGCCAGCAGGUGGUGCGGAAAGUGGC
rnacentral:piRNA from 1 species